rnacentral:rRNA from 1 species
GAUGAACGCUGGCGGCGUGCUUAACACAUGCAAGUCGAACGAAGCACUUUAUUUGAUUUCCUUCGGGACUGAUUAUUUUGUGACUGAGUGGCGGACGGGUGAGUAACGCGUGGGUAACCUGCCUUGUACAGGGGGAUAACAGUUGGAAACGGCUGCUAAUACCGCAUAAGCGCACAGCAUCGCAUGAUGCAGUGUGAAAAACUCCGGCGGUAUAAGAUGGACCCGCGUUGGAUUAGCUAGUUGGUGAGGUAACGGCCCACCAAGGCGACGAUCCAUAGCCGACCUGAGAGGGUGACCGGCCACAUUGGGACUGAGACACGGCCCAGACUCCUACGGGAGGCAGCAGUGGGGAAUAUUGCACAAUGGGCGAAAGCCUGAUGCAGCGACGCCGCGUGAGCGAAGAAGUAUUUCGGUAUGUAAAGCUCUAUCAGCAGGGAAGAUAAUGACGGUACCUGACGAAGAAGCACCGGCUAACUACGUG